AAUGGAGUCACACGUGCUGACACUUUUCCAGUUGUGUGCUUUUAAGUCAAUUGCCUAGUCAUGAGGAAAAACAUACUUGAACCUGAAAUGGUUUCUUUUGAACUGAGUUUUUUGGUUUUUGGGGGUUUUUGGUUGUUUUUUUGUUUGUUUGUUUUUUUGUUUUGUUUUGUUUUGUUUUUUGUUUUUCAAGAUAGGGUUUCUCUGUAGCCCUGGCUGUCCUGGUACUCUCUGUAGACCAGGCUGGCCUCGAACUCAGAAAUUUGCCUGCCUCUGCCUCCCAAGUGCUGGGAUUAAAGGCGUGCACCACCACGCCCGGCUCUGAACUGAGUUUAAUAGUGUUUCACAUUUUUGUUUUGGUAAAGAUUUACUCAAACACCUUUUCUCAAUACAGAGGUUUUUUUGUUUGUUUUUAAUUUUAAACACAGUGUUUAAAAUGUGAAAAAUAGAACAAUCUGAGGUUCCAUGAGAUGUGCCCUGAAAUAUGUUGGUAGAAUAAUGAUAAAACAAAAAGGUGUUUGUUUUAUAUUUUAAGUCUGUUUUUGUUUUUUUGUAGAGAUUUUUUUCUUUUUUCUUUUUUUUUUUUUUUUUGGUUUGGUUGAUUGGUUUGGUUUUUGACUUUGAUAGUUUCUAAAGUGAGAAAGAAGUAAUGUAUUGAUGAGGCUUUCUAUUCUGGUAAAUUUCAAUUCCCUUGAUUUAAGUUUUCAGAUUUUUUUAUAUGUAAAUUUUAAUUUUCCAGACAGCAUUUUGUAUAGAACCCCAAUGUCAGGGCACUCUGGUGGAGUCAGCUUGUGAGGCAGAAAUGCCAAAAAGCUGCUCAUGAGAAAUUAAUUUCUAGGACUCUCCUCCUGGAUAUUCUGGCGAAAGCCAACUCUCCAGUUUGGAUCGGUUUGUCAGGCGAAAAGCCUGGAAGCUGUUUCACGAGGAUAAGAGUGCAGGGAAAUUUUCCUCCCAGAGUUAUGGCAUCUCUUUCCCUAACCCAUUAUAUUCAAAUUUCCACCACAUUAAUCUAGUGUAUAGAUUCACGUGCACUCUAUUAAGCAUCACCUUAUAGUAAAUGCCUUUUAAGAUUGUAUUCUAACAUAGCUAAAGCCUUUUCCCAGUGUUCUUGGAUUCCAGAUAGCAGCAAGGAGCUUAACCCAUUCAGUAAACAAUUAAGCACUUGCCAUUUUACUCAGCAGUUUACAGAUAGAGACUAAAAUUCUCACUGAGAUAGAAAUUCUUAUUACAGACUACAUUUCAUGCCAAGAGCAAAUUAGUAUACUAUACUGAAAAUGGACAGUCUCCAGAUAUAGAUAAGAAUUAACGAGGCCUAGAGAAUUUUGGGGUCAGUGACACUACAUUAUUCUUGAGGCGUGUCAAGAGUUAACUACCCUGGGGCUAUUAACUCUAAGUGUAAAACUCUUGCCUGGCAGAAAGUGCUAAUCUCUAAUGUAAACAUUUAUCUGGUCCCUACAAAUUCCCUUUGUAGUCACUCCCCUUGCAUCUGUGCUAAUCUCUAGUGUUAUACAUUUAUCUGGUUCCUUUUGAAGUCACUCCUUUUGCACCUGGAAAAAUUCAAUGUGCCUUGUUCUGCAACUUAUUCUGUAUUAUAAAAGUCUGAUGCUCGACUGGAACAUUGCAUUCAGAUUCAACACCUCUCUUGUGUGUUUGACUGAUUGUCACUACAUCCUAAUCUCUGCCAAUCUACUCUAGAGACUCUUUCCUACACAGGCACAGGGGACCAGAGGGCCUGCGGCACCCCAACAUGUGACAAGUCAUGUCUGCCAUGAUUUAGUGAGAAUCAAAAACAUCUGCAGACAGCUUUAAUGUUCAAGAAAUGUGCUUUGAUAUACAAUAAUCUCACAGAUGUGAGUGUAAAUAUGUAUUUCAUAAAUAACUUUUAAAAUGACAAUAAAAAGUGUGGUUUUUAUCCUCUGACAAAUGGUUCUUUUUCUUUCUUUUUUUUUUUUUUUUGCUUUUACAUCUAAUGCUUAAUCUUGAAAGAGACAUUUUCAGAAAUUUGUACAGUGCAUUAUACUUUUUGAUGAUGUCAUAAUGAAGUCGGUAUUUUCCUUUUGACACCCAUGCUGCAACCACUUGGCCAUCACAACACUGGGAAAAUGUGUCUUUUUUUUUUUUCAUAAGCCCAAGUACCAGGAAUGGAACACAUUAUUUAUAGCAUUUUUAAAACUUACCGUAAUCAGAUCAAGUGCAAAAAGAAUCCUGACCCUAAAUGUAAAAAGAUGUUUCUCCAAUAAAACAAAAUCAACUUUGUCUCACAUAUUUUUUAACUCCUUAGAAUAAAAGUAAAUGAGCCAUCAGUGUGACAUUAACAAUUUAACAUUGAUUUUUUUUUAAAGGUCAGAUAUAGUCUCUUUCAUUAAAAAUGUUUAUAGAACACAAACUUUCAAAUAUCUGAAAUUGGGCAUUGAAAGAUAGCUUAGUCUUUAAGAGUGCUUGCUGUGCAGCCAUAAGUACUGGAAUUCAAACCCAGCCCAAGCCUGUAAUCCUAGCUCUGAGGGACGCGGAAGGUCACUGUUACUUGCUAGAUUUCAGCUAAGCC
rnacentral:lncRNA from 1 species